rnacentral:rRNA from 1 species
UACGGGGGGAGCAAGCGUUGUUCGGAUUUACUGGGCGUAAAGGGCGCGUAGGCGGUCGUGACAAGUCACUUGUGAAAUCUCCGGGCUUAACUCGGAACGGUCAAGUGAUACUGUCGGACUAGAGUACAGAAGGGGCAACUGGAAUUCUCGGCGUAGCGGUGAAAUGCGUAGAUAUCGAGAGGAACACCUGCGGCGAAGGCGGGUUGCUGGGCUGAUACUGACGCUGAGGCGCGAAAGCCAGGGGAGCGAACGGG